rnacentral:rRNA from 1 species
UGGGGAAUUUUGGACAAUGGGCGAAAGCCUGAUCCAGCAAUGCCGCGUGUGUGAAGAAGGCCUUCGGGUUGUAAAGCACUUUUGUCCGGAAAGAAAUCCUUGGCUCUAAUACAGUCGGGGGAUGACGGUACCGGAAGAAUAAGCACUGGCUAACUACGUGCCAGCAGCCGCGGUAAUACGUAGGGUGCAAGCGUUAAUCGGAAUUACUGGGCGUAAAGCGUGCGCAGGCGGUUUGCUAAGACCGAUGUGAAAUCCCCGGGCUCAACCUGGGAACUGCAUUGGUGACUGGCAGGCUAGAGUAUGGCAGAGGGGGGUAGAAUUCCACGUGUAGCAGUGAAAUGCGUAGAGAUGUGGAGGAAUACCGAUGGCGAAGGCAGCCCCCUGGGCCAAUACUGACGCUCAUGCACGAAAGCGUGGGGAGCAAAACAGGAUUAGAUACCCUGGUAGUCCACGCCCUAAAACGAUGUCAACUAGUUGUUGGGGAUUCAUUUCCUUAGUAACGUAGCUAACGCGUGAAGUUGACCGCCUGGGGAGUACGGUC